UUUUUUUGUUGAAAAGCCAUCACCCACUUUAUAUCUAAAAACAUAACUACACACCAAGCCAGGAGCAAGCUUUGAGCGACCACAUACAGAACAGUGAAAUUUGAGGCCUUUCUACCGAGCAGGAUUUGGAUCUGCAGCAGAUAAGAAGAGAAAAUUCAGCCAUGAACAAAUCAAGUACCUGGAAUUCCUGUUUGAAUUGGAGUCAAAAGCAGAGUCCAGGAAUAAACAGCAGCUCGCUGAUGAGCUUGGUCUACGACCUUGCCAAGUGGCUGUAUGGUUCCAAAAUCGUCGAGCAAGAUUGAACUCUAAGCAGAUUGAGCUUGAUUAUAGCAAGCUCAAAGCAAAUUUUGACACUCUAGCUUCCAGCUAUGAAUCCCUGAAAGAAAAACAUCACUCGUUGCUUGCCCAGUUACAGACACUAAAGACUAUGCUUGGGAAACAUCAAGAUGGCCUAUAAAAUUCGACACUAGGCCAUAAUGAAAUCUGCAAAGAUGUCAAAUGCAAGAUCGAGGACACCACAACUGAAUCCAAAGAAGUGUCUAUCUUUGUGUCUGGAUGUAAUGAUCAUGUAAGCCAUGAGCCUUACAUUGAUGAUAAUAAGGGAAGUGUUGAGGGCACUGUGGAAAAUAAUGCAAUGAUUAACACAGAAUCGUCAGGAAACUGGUGCAAUUUUGAGUCCAGUUUUCUUGAGGAGUCAAGUUCUACUUCAGAGUGUGGGAGUUCUUCUGGUCUUGAACAAUAGGGUACCAUCCUCUCAAAGUUUACUGGACUCUGUAAAAUUACACCUUCCUUGAAUUUUCGACACCCAACUGUAGAGUGAACUUAGGAAGGCAUAUUUCCAUGAUAUAGAGCAAAUUUUGUGAGAAGA